rnacentral:rRNA from 1 species
AUACAACUUUCAACAACGGAUCUCUUGGCUCUCGCAUCGAUGAAGAACGCAGCGAAAUGCGAUAAGUAGUGUGAAUUGCAGAAUUCAGUGAGUCAUCGAAUCUUUGAACGCACCUUGCGCCCCUUGGUAUUCCGAAGGGCACACCUGUUUGAGUGUCAUG